AUUGAACGCUGGCGGAAUGCUUUACACAUGCAAGUCGAACGGCAGCACGGACUUCGGUCUGGUGGCGAGUGGCGAACGGGUGAGUAAUGUAUCGGAACGUGCCCAGUCGUGGGGGAUAACGUAGUGAAAAUUACGCUAAUACCGCAUGCGAUCUAUGGCUGAAAGCGGGGGAUCGCAAGACCUCGCGCGAUUGGAGCGGCCGAUAUCAGAUUAGGUAGUUGGUGGGGUAAAGGCCCACCAAGCCAACGAUCUGUAGCUGGUCUGAGAGGACGACCAGCCACACCGGAACUGAGACACGGUCCAGACUCCUACGGGAGGCAGCAGUGGGGAAUUUUGGACAAUGGGCGAAAGCCUGAUCCAGCCAUUCCGCGUGCAGGAUGAAGGCCCUCGGGUUGUAAACUGCUUUUGUACAGAACGAAAAGGUUUCUACUAAUACUAGGAGCUCAUGACGGUACUGUAAGAAUAAGCACCGGCUAACUACGUGCCAGCCGCCGCGGUAA
rnacentral:rRNA from 1 species